CCCGUUACCUAGCAACCCAAACUGAAUUCCAGCAUGUUUGGACAACUGGUUUUCCCGCUGUAUGCGCUGUACAAGGGCUGCUGGAAAAGACAA